UAUGGAAAGUAUCUCGAUAGAGAACUGCGAAUCUUGUCAGGUCCGGAAGGAAGCAGCAAUAAACAGAACUCCUCUAUGUGGGAUGCUCUCCAUAGAG
rnacentral:SRP_RNA from 2 species